rnacentral:rRNA from 1 species
UACGUAGGGUGCGAGCGUUGUCCGGAAUUAUUGGGCGUAAAGAGCUCGUAGGCGGUUUGUCGCGUCGACUGUGAAAACCUACAGCUUAACUGUGGGCUUGCAGUCGAUACGGGCAGACUUGAGUUCGGUAGGGGAGACUGGAAUUCCUGGUGUAGCGGUGAAAUGCGCAGAUAUCAGGAGGAACACCGGUGGCGAAGGCGGGUCUCUGGGCAACAACUGACGUGAGGAGCGAAAGCGUGGGGAGCGAACAGG